UUUUUUUUUUUUUUUUUUUUUGCAUUUCUUCUUUCCCAUUAAGUACCAAGGUAUUCCAGGGACAGGCAAGCAUAGCUGUCAGGACAAAAUGUCCUCUGCUCCAGGAAGAGGGGCCCGGAAGUAGGCAGUGGAGAUGUGUACUUGUUACGUCUGAAGGAGCCUUCAUCAGUAUAAAUGCAUAUAUACCUGCUUUCUGGGUUAAAAUGUGUGCCUUUGGUUGUAUAUCCAUGCAACAAAUGGUCAAAUCACUGUUUAUCCAUACAUUUGCUUUCCUGCUCCCCUCCUCUCUCUGCUGCUCCUGCGCUGGGAGAGUCACCCAUUUGCCAGGGGAAGUGCUGAGUCAUGGCUCUAGCUGGGUUUCUGUCUCCUAUUCUCCAUCUCCAUUCUUUCCUCAGUCCACUCCUCACCCAGGCUGGGCUCUCUGUAGAGCUCUGAGCCCUCUUCACCACUUCCCUUCUCAGCCUGGAAGCACUUUCCUGAGGUUCACUUCUGGUCAGUAAAGAGAAGGCACUUUACUCUGUUUCUGCACUUUCUCCGUUCUCACCUUGCCUUCUCAAAAGACUGCGCUUUUCUCCAUGUGACCACCCCUCCCUUAGAAAACAGGAGUCUGACCAGGUUUGACCCAGGAGGCUAAUUCUUCCAUGUAUUCAUGCUGAUCCUCCUCCAGUUGCUUACCCCCUAAUCGGAUUAUGGCAGUGUCUCAUGCCUUGGGGCAAGGCAAGGAAAGUGAGAUUUAAUUUGACACCACGCGCUGAGGCUUUUUUACAUUCUGUCUCCAAGUGCCAGACCACAGGUUCCAGGAGGUGUGUGUGUGUGUGUGUGUGUGUGUGUGUGUGUGUAGUAAAGGGAGGAUGCUGUGCCUAUGGGUUCAGAGGCAGUACCUAGUGAUCUCUCCAAGAGCAGGAUGUUUGGGGGUCUCGGUAGUCUCUCUUUCCCUCCCACUUCAGACUUUUAACGCAGAAGUUCCAAUUAAGUAAUCUUGCUAACUAGUUCCAAAUAAGGCAGAUAAGGAUUGUUUCCUCCGCUAGAGUGGGGAGAGUGGAAAGGUGGCCCCGCCCGCUCAGUCUGGUUGCUAUGGCGACAGCCGCGGGGUGACCCAAGUGCUCCUCCCUCCCUCCUCCCAAACCCAGAAAGAUGACGGCACCGCGCUGACUGCGCCAAAUUCCAGCCAAUGGGCGGCUGCUCCCGCCUUCCCUUCCGCCAGCUCUCCCCCUCCUCCCCCCCGGGAAUUCGAUUCACAAAUCUGGACUAGGGAUUUCCGGCUCCAGGCCGGGUGCAAGGGCGCUGGGCCGAGGCCGGGGUAGAGUCACGGUCUGUCCGCUUAGGAGGGCAAAUGGAAGCCGGCAUCCUUGGGUUUUCGGGCGAGACUCCUGUAACUCGCCAUCAGAAGAGAUCACAACCUACUCCCAAAUUAUCCAGAAAAUCUAGUUGAAGCCGAGUCUGCAACACCUCCUGCCCCUGCAAGCCCCCACCCCGCCCGAGCGCGCCGAUCAGCACCACGGACAGCGAACCCAGGCCUAGUCUUUCAGGGCCUCUCCGGGUUCUGACUCUUGAUCCUCGAGGUCUGGGCGACGACCAGGGUCAGAGACGCCAGCGCUCUACUGGAGCCAGGCCUCCUUGGGCCAACGAAACUGAAUGGGACGCUUAGCCACGUGGCUAAGAAGGCAAUGGGACAGGAAUCUUAGGCUAAAGAGCUUAUUUCUCUUCUUUCAACCCCAGAGAGUGGCUCCUGUCUUCCAGGCUGCCUUAAGCAGGGAUGGACUUCCCAAGGCUAUCCUGGGUGGGCGUGUGACUGAAACGGCCUUGAAACAACCCAGUGGGCUGGAGGAGGGGUGUGGAGCUGAGUGUGACAGUCAGGUCCUACCUGAGAGUGGUGAGCACAGGCUUAGUCAGGCCUGACUAGACUCUAGACAGUAUAUGUAGUGGGGAGAGGUGGAGGAGGAAGAGAAAAGCAGCAAUCAUCACUAGCUAGUUCUACUUCAAUAGACUACUUUGUAAAGGGUACAACUUUUGCUGUCCUCAUCAUUUAAUCCCUAAAUAGCCUGGGCAUUAAUGAAGAGCUAGGUGAGACAAGAUGGAGGCAUAGUGUGCGAGGGGAUUCAGCUUUGUCACCAGGCCUCAAUCUUUAGCUACUUUACUCUCUGUAAGAUGGAAGCCAGUGUGGGGGCGGGGGGUGGGGGAGAAUAGCAGUUCUCAGGGACCUUCCCCACCUUCCCCACUAGGCCCGUGGGGGUCAUCCUGCCCUGUCUGUGACAGUUUCACUCCCAAUCCCACUCCCUCCCUCCUGGGGCCCAAAGAAAGGCCGGCGCAAAACCAUCUGCAGGCGCUUCCAGCGCUUUAUAGUUCUCUCCGGGACAGACGGACAGACAGACAGUGCAGCCCGCGCCGUCGGCCCGCAUCAUUGGCACCUUGGACACGGCACCAGGCCCAACCCAGUCCCUGGUGCCCUCCCGGGAGGAUUCCGGUCCGGCCUCAAAUCAGCACCUCAGACAGCUCCCGGCCCAACACCCACCCCUCCCCCCUCCCUCUGGAAACAACCAAAUAAAUUAAAAGGGGGAGGAACAAAAACACCUAAGGAUAAGGAAGAGGGGCACCCCCUCCCCCAGAGUAAAAAGAGUUUGUGUCUCUCCCGCCCUUCCUCUGAGGCUCCGCCGCCGCCGGGGUGGCCUCCUAGGUUGAUUUGGCUCCCAAACCUCAGCCUCCUGAAGCCGGCAUCUCCCUCCCCCCCCAACUCCCGGCAUGCAACACGUUGGAAAAAGGUAGAGAGAGGAGGUGGGGGUGGGGCGAAGGACCAUCCUGGUGGUUUUUCUGGCUCCUGGGGCUGCAGUUUCUCCCCGCACCUCAGUCAGUCCAAAUCAAGAAUUAAUAUUCCCUUCGGUCUGGGAAGGAGGAUUGGCGGGGGGGGCGGGGGGCUUAGUCGGGGGAAGAAAUGCAAGCUGACAUAGGUGGGGGGGUGGGGUGGGGAGGUAAGCAGACAGGAGGGAAGAUGGUGACACAUGCCAGGAGCAGGGAAAAGGGAACAAGAAGGGGAGGAGGGGACACAGGUGCCGAAAGAGAAAGGGGGGCAAUAAUAGUCAGGUAGGGGGUAAGAUGGAGACGGAAAUACACACCCAAGGUAUAGGAAAAUGGAACGGCAGAGAGGGAGAUGGGAAGGCAGACAGGGAGGAAGACGGAGAUACAGGAAGGAGGCGAGGAAAUGGCCAAAACCGAGGGAGAUGGACUUGCGG
rnacentral:lncRNA from 1 species